rnacentral:rRNA from 1 species
CCUACGGGGGGCUGCAGUAAGGAAUAUUGGACAAUGGACGAAAGUCUGAUCCAGCCAUGCCGCGUGAAGGAUUAAGGUCCUCUGGAUUGUAAACUUCUUUUAUAUGGGUCGAAAAAAGGGCAUUCUUGCUCACUUGACAGUACCAUAUGAAUAAGCACCGGCUAACUCCGUGCCAGCAGCCGCGGUAAUACGGAGGGUGCAAGCGUUAUCCGGAUUCACUGGGUUUAAAGGGUAUAAGUAAGGAUAAGUAGAAAUCUCGGAGCUUAACUCCGAAACUGCCUUUGAUACUAUUUGUCUUGAAUAUUGUGGAGGUUUGCGGAAUAUGUCAUGUAGCGGUGAAAUGCUUAGAUAUGACAUGGAACACCUAUUGCGAAGGCAGCAGGCUACACAUAUAUUGACACUGAGGCACGAAAGCGUGGGGAUCAAACAGGAUUAGAUACCCCAGUAGUC